GCCCUUGGGAGGGGCUGGGCCCCGCCGCCAGCUCUGCUUCUCACUGCAGGGGCGCCCCCAGGAAGGGACAGGACAGGGAGCUCGUCCCGCAGCGAACGGCAAGGCGGAGGCCCGGCCUCUCGCCUCCCAGCCCUCCCCGCGUCCUUUGCGGCCUCCCAGUCCGCCCUGCGCCAUCAGAAGGCGCCGCCCGGCGGCCAGGGCCCUUCGCCGCAGCCAGAGUGUUUUGUCCGAGCUCAAAAGGGCCGUCUCCACGGAAGCGGCCCCUCGGCUCGGAGCCCCGCGGCCCGGAGGGAGCCCCGCGGCCCGGAAGGAGCCCCGGCGGGGAUGAGAGGAUUCCGCCCCAGCCCCAGCAGACGCGGCGAAGGGUUUGAAGGAGGCGCUUUGAGAGUCGAGGUCUCCCGCCCGCGCGCCUCCCUGGCGCAGACCUCUUUUAACUUUUUGGCUUGUAGUGCGCGUCCUGACGUGCCCAGCGAGCUACAGCUUACUGAGCUUUACUGGACUCGCCGGAGCAGCAGUCCCCAAGUGGAGAGACAGCGCAUCGCACGCUGCCCGGGCCCCGCAGGGCCUGGCGCCUGGGGCCUUUGCGCCGCUUUGGAGCUACGGGAUCACACCGCCCGCUCCCCGAGCUUGGCGUCUUCCACGCGGCGCUGUGUGUCAUCUGCGUGCACGCAGUGCGCUCUCGCUGCCGUGUCCAGGUCACUGCGAGGCAGGCACAGAGGGAAGGACACGGAGAACAGCCGCGCGGAGGCGAGGAGGGACACUGGGCGCUGCUGUCCCCUCCCCUGAGGGGCAGCCACUCCUCUUGUGGACGCAGGUGCGGUCACCAGAAGGGAAGGACAGCAGAGGACUCUUCAGGGACCUUCCUGGAUCCCCCUGCACCGGGAGUGGUCUACUUGCUUGACUUGAGGGUGAGACUUGGUCAGCCCUUGACUGUGGAGGGCAGGACCAUGGGCUUCACGGGGGGCAGCAUUCAUGACCCACGCCUCUGCUUCCAUUCCCUACUUGCUGCCCGGGCCUCCAGGCAGGGGAGUCUAGUCUCCCUUCCCAGGCUUCCAAUGCCUCGCCCCCUGCUGUGGUAAGGAUUCCCGCCGGUCCCUAUUUAUUAAUCAGGGAACUCAGGGUUCAAGUUUGCUCCCCUCCCCUUCUCUCCAUCUAGUCCCCUUGAAAGCCCCCUGAGCAGAGGAUAACGCACGAGGAGACCUGGCUGUGUAUAUUUUGACAAUAAUAUCAAAAUACUGUCAAAUACUAAACGGAAAAGAAAUAGGAAAACCUUGAACUUUAUUAAAAUGAACUUCAAAAGACACCAUUAAGAGCAAAAAGAAAAAAAGUUGCCUUUUGUUCAAUAAACGACUUAGGACUAGAAAAUAUGAAGAACCC
rnacentral:lncRNA from 1 species